UGGGGAAUAUUGGACAAUGGGCGAAAGCCUGAUCCAACCAUGCCGCGUGUGUGAAGAAGGUCUUCGGAUUGUAAAGCACUUUAAGUUGGGAGGAAGGGCAUUAACCUAAUACGUUAGUGUUUUGACGUUACCGACAGAAUAAGCACCGGCUAACUCUGUGCCAGCAGCCGCGGUAAUACAGAGGGUGCAAGCGUUAAUCGGAAUUACUGGGCGUAAAGCGCGCGUAGGUGGUAUGUUAAGUUGGAUGUGAAAUCCCCGGGCUCAACCUGGGAACUGCAUUCAAAACUGACUGACUAGAGUAUGGUAGAGGGUGGUGGAAUUUCCUGUGUAGCGGUGAAAUGCGUAGAUAUAGGAAGGAACACCAGUGGCGAAGGCGACCACCUGGACUAAUACUGACACUGAGGUGCGAAAGCGUGGGGAGCAAACA
rnacentral:rRNA from 1 species